GAUGAACUGUGGAAUAAGGAAGUGCAGGCCCCCUAACACCUCAUUGUGAGUUGGAACAUUAGUGAAGCAGCAACAGCAGCCUGCUAGACCAAGCCAAGAGGACAGAGCUGGCAUAGACAUGUGCUGGCUUGAGGAGCCUACAGACUCACCAGAAAGCAUAAGGAAUCAUUUUCAGGAGCUGCAUUGGGACUGAAAAGUAGGAACUUCUCAAUUGGUUAAAAUCUCUUCAGCACUUUGAAGAUUCAUUUACAAAGAAUAAUGGAUACCACACACAUACAAAGAAGGCAGCGUUCAUGUCUGGUACAUGAGAAGACAACCCACUGUGGACAGAAUAUUUGAAGAAACAAUUAGGGAAGGCUGAAAGAAGCUGAGAAGUAGGACUUCCCUGUAGGAAGACCAGCAGUCUCAAUUAACCUGGAUCCCCGAGAUCUCUCAAACACUGAACUACCAAACAGUCAGCAUAUAUGAACUGAUAUGAAGCCCCAACACACAUACAGUAGAAGACUGCCAUGCCAGGAGCCUAUGCCUGCAUUCCCUGACACUGGCCACCAAAAAUUCUGUAUUUCCCCUUCAGAGGACAAAGCUGUCUCUUGGAUGCCGUUUGAUUGUUUCUCUGGAAUACAGAAAAACAAAAGAAGAAACAAAAAUUUACUACCAUGAAAGAUAUCCCAAGACAAGCCCAAUUGUUUUAAGACAUCACUUUGUCUCAGUCUUGUCCACUAAAGCCAGACAGACAGUAAUUCCUGGCGCUCUGUGACUCUCUUCCCAGCCUUGCAUAAGCCCAGAUUUAUGACUGCAACAUCAAAAGUGUUUCUUGAACAGAAGCUACUGUGUUUCCUCUCCCACUAGGAACACUUGGAUGCCAAGAAGCGUUCUGAUUACAGCAGUAUGGACCUACCAAUAGAGACAAUGGAUGCUUUCAGUACCCUGCCAUGUAUAAGAUACCUCCCCCAAAUAAAAUAGCUGGUGUGACAUGU
rnacentral:lncRNA from 1 species